GCUCACCCCAGCUGGUGCUGGCCAGGCUAUUUAGGUGAUGCAGGAAGCAAAGGGUGGUCUUUUGCAUGGGUGCUGUGCCUUUUCUUCAUCACCUCAUGCUGCAAUUGUUGGCUGGGACCUGGUCUUGGCCACCCCCAGGUUCAUGUGGCACCUGUCCACCUGGCACAUGGGAGCUGUGUUCCUGGGAGAGGCUCAGAUUCCCAGGGUCCCAAGCCAAGGAGGCUCCCCAGGGUGCUGAGAGCCUCACAAAGAGGGGAGAAGCCACCUGCCUGAUUAAACAGCAGCAGCAAGCUUUGCAUCGCCAGCCACGCCUGAGCACGACGUGAACUUCAGUGACACUUAGAAGAGGAAACGUGCUGCCUUCUGGGUCUCUCCGCUAAUAUUUGGAAGCCUGACAGCUGUGUCCCGAGCCCAGGCGGUACAAGCUUAUAAAUAACUCAUGAAGCCUGGUUUCAAGUCCAGCCCGUGUCUGGCUACCUACAGCAGCUCUCACUGCCACCACACACCAGGUCUGGAUAUCUGCCCCACGCAGAGCAUCCUCAGCACCCUGCUGAGCAGAGGGGUGGCACUGCAGGGUGGCACUGGCCUUGCUGUGGGACACCUGAGCACAACCCCCUGCAUGCAGCUCUUUUGGCAGUUCCCUGCCUGUAGGAGAAGGGGCCGAGGAGCCGAAGGGGAAGCGUUGGGUCCUGGGUGCACGGAGCGUGGGGGCUUUGCUGCGCUGUAAUCUAAAUGCAGAUGUCAGACAGCGAGAGCUGCUGUGUAAAUAACAUCCCCCGUGAUAUGAGAUACGUCACUUGUAAUGAAGCUAUGAAAGCUGCAA